rnacentral:lncRNA from 1 species
CCCAGAUAAGCUUCAGAAGGCCAGCAGUCGGGAGGAAACAGAAGGCGCCGUGCCCCUGCCUACCACAGCCCCUGCUGCCCACAGUCUUUCAAGUCUGAAUAGCAGUCAGGCUCCUUUUGACUCAGUUUGGUGCCUGUUCUCUUGCAAACCCUCUGGCUGUAGCUGUUGGCCAUAGUGGGCCUGUGGAAUUCAUACAGGGAGAGGCAGGUGGUGGUGAGCCACGCACAGACAAGCAGACCCUCACCAUGGGCUGGGACCUAGCUCUGGGAUCUGCUGGCCAGACAGCUGCAUGAGGUUGUUGGCUGAACAUCAAAUCUGAAGAGAAAGGAGCUGAACAGUGGAGGAACAGGACCUCAGACAUACUGGAGACUGUGACCCUGGACAUCAACAAGCCAUAGAGCAUGGCUGUAGUCUCUAAAGGAGAACUCCCUGGAGUGUGGGGGUCUGCUGUCCAGGAAAGACAACAAGCCACAUGUUUUCACUUCUGUAAACAAGGUCGGUUGCCCCAACUGUACAGCUCCCACAUAAGGUGUGUGUGUGUGCGGUGCUAUGUCGAGGUGGGUGCUUGCCCCCAUUUGGACAAGGUGGGAAGUCUAUAACCUGCUGGAAUUUGCUUUAAAAGCAGCUAAGGUAAUACAUGGUCAUUCUUUGGGAACCACAGGUGUCAACCUAGGCAUCGGCAUAGUCCUGGCCAGUAUUUAAUAAGUGUGCUUCAAAUCUGUCUCAAAAAAUUCUACUAGUUAUUCUCACCCAGGGGGGUUAACAGUUGAUGUGAUACUCUCUUUACCUGCCUCCACUGGUAAAGAGUAGGGCACAAAGACAUACCCAUUGCUCCCCUUCUUUAGGGGAACUUUUGCUUCAGAUUUCUGUAUCAGACCCUCUAAACAAGGACGAGGUCAGCCAGUGACCUUUCUCAUCCUGAUGACCCUGGAUGUCGAACCUCGAAGCAGUACCAGGUCCCUGAAAUGUACCCAAUGCUGGGCGUGGCCCCUCUAGGCUCACACACCCAGCUGAUUUCCUUCUUUCCUUUGCUUCAGCAGCAUCCCCGCCUGACUUUCUGCGAGCUCUCCACUCACUCUCUGUAAUCUCUCUCUGGAAGUGCUGCC